UACCCAUCUUCCUCUUGUCUUUGAGGAUUUCACUAAGAGGUUUAGGACCCUCGAAGUCAGCUAACGCCAUUCUAUUUGAAUUACCAGUUUUCCCAGUGUAAUCUCCAUUAUCUUCAGCUUUUUUCUUCUCUUCUUUAAUCUGAGCAAGGGACUUGGGUCCUGUAAACUCAGUGGAUGAAUUAUUAUAUUUCCUCUCUCUGGGAACUGGUUUCCUUAGCACUUCAGAAGAAAGAAAUUGCCCUUUAGCCU
rnacentral:misc_RNA from 1 species